GAUGAACGCUGGCGGCGUGCCUAAUACAUGCAAGUCGAGCGAACGGACGAGGAGCUUGCUUUUCUGAUGUUAGCGGCGGACGGGUGAGUAACACGUGGAUAACCUACCUAUAAGACUGGGAUAACUUCGGGAAACCGGAGCUAAUACCGGAUAAUAUUUUGAACCGCAUGGUUCAAUAGUGAAAGACGGUCUUGCUGUCACUUAUAGAUGGAUCCGCGCUGCAUUAGCUAGUUGGUAAGGUAACGGCUUACCAAGGCAACGAUGCAUAGCCGACCUGAGAGGGUGAUCGGCCACACUGGAACUGAGACACGGUCCAGACUCCUACGGGAGGCAGCAGUAGGGAAUCUUCCGCAAUGGGCGAAAGCCUGACGGAGCAACGCCGCGUGAGUGAUGAAGGUCUUCGGAUCGUAAAACUCUGUUAUUAGGGAAGAACAUAUGUGUAAGUAACUGUGCACAUCUUGACGGUACCUAAUCAGAAAGCCACGGCUAACUACGUG
rnacentral:rRNA from 1 species